CCUACGGGUGGCAGCAGUGAGGAAUAUUGGUCAAUGGGCGCGAGCCUGAACCAGCCAAGUAGCGUGAAGGAUGACUGCCCUACGGGUUGUAAACCUCUUUUAUAAAGGAAUAAAGUGCGGCACGUGUGCCUUUUUGUAUGUACUUUAUGAAUAAGGCUCGGCUAACUCCGUGCCAGCAGCCGCGGUUAUACUGAGGAUCCGAGCGUUAUCCGGAUUUAUUGGGUUUAAAGGGAGCGUAGAUGGGUUGUUUAGUCAAGUGUGAAAGUUUGCGGCUCAACCGUCAAAUUGCAAUUGAUACUGGCAGCCUUGAGUACAGUUGAGGCAGGCGGAAUGCGUGGUGUAGCGGUGAAAUGCUUAGAUAUCACGAAGAACUCCGAUUGCGAAGGCAGCUUACUAAACUGCCACUGACAUUGAUGCUCGAAAGUGUGGGGAUCAAACAGGAUUAGAUACCCCAGUAGUC
rnacentral:rRNA from 1 species